UCUCCCUAAAACCAUGUCCAUGACCAUGAUUCAAAUCCUGCCCAAAAAUCUUUGGGAUUCCUUCAACCCUCUCCACAGUACCCACAUUGGAAAACAGGGAAUUAUCGUCUUUCUUCGCGUUGACCACUGGCAAGGCUGGUGCUGCUACCGGCACCAUCGGUUUGGCCCUGAUAACUGCAUUAUUAGUCGAAAAUAUUGACCUUAUUGACUGAACUAUCUCCAUAUUCUCAGAGACGGAUCUCACUGACCCCAAUUCAACAACUCCAACAUCAGUAGCCACCAGAACAAUGGUCUGAA
rnacentral:misc_RNA from 1 species